GGGUAUCUGGAGCCAUGUUUGCUAACAUUGAAUCUGACAAUGCAUAAGUGAUAGACACGCUGUCAGUUUUUUCAUCCAGCAUGUAAUCACCUAAAGCCAUAGCUAGGAGUUCUCCAUGUGUACAACCAUCAUUCAAGAAGAACAACCUCCCUCCUUUGUGAUUAUCCACCACAAAAUGCCACAACUGAGCACCCAUAACCCAGUCUCCAAAUACAACAGGCAACUGAGUCGGC
rnacentral:lncRNA from 1 species